AUUGAACGCUGGCGGCAUGCCUUACACAUGCAAGUCGAACGGCAGCACGGGAGCAAUCCUGGUGGCGAGUGGCGAACGGGUGAGUAAUAUAUCGGAACGUGCCCAGUCGUGGGGGAUAACGCAGCGAAAGCUGUGCUAAUACCGCAUACGAUCUACGGAUGAAAGCGGGGGAUCGCAAGACCUCGCGCGAUUGGAGCGGCCGAUAUCAGGUUAGCUAGUUGGUGGGGUAAAGGCUUACCAAGCCGACGAUCUGUAGCUGGUCUGAGAGGACUACCAGCCACAAGGGGACUGAGACACGGCCCAGACUCCUACGGGAGGCAGCAGUGGGGAAUUUUGGACAAUGGGCGAAAGCCUGAUCCAGCCAUGCCGCGUGCAGGAUGAAGGCCUUCGGGUUGUAAACUGCUUUUGUACGGAACGAAAAGGUUUGGCCUAAUAAGCUGAGCUCAAGACGGUACCGUAAGAAUAAGCACCGGCUAACUACGUGCCAGCAGCCGCAGUAA
rnacentral:rRNA from 1 species